rnacentral:lncRNA from 1 species
UGGAGUUUCAACGAUCUCUUCCGGAGAUUCUUGAGAUCCGAUAUAGAAGAGAACAUCUCUGGCCGUUAUUCCUUUUCACAAAGUUUCCUUUCUCACGGCGUAUUCCUUUUUCGCGAAGAUCGUUCUUUCCUUUUCAUCCAGGCCUGGCUACUUUUGAGGAUCUUCCAGAAUAUCGGACAACAUGAAUAUUUCCUUUUUCCAGCUCUAGAGGAAGAGAAAUUUGGUGUAUAUAAAGGUUUGUGUUGGGGUCAAAAUCGGUCACGACGGAAUCAAUGUCUGAAAGUCAGUAAAAAUCGGCAUGAACGUUUUUUAAAAAAAUAAAUCUUAGAAAAAGAUCUAUU